AACUUAAACGAAAAUACAGCCCAUGAUAACAACCACAUGGUAACAGACUUUGAAUGAAUCAAUGCUAACGUUAAUCCUAGAAACUAGGACAUUAUUAACUGAAACAGAAAACUUUGAACAAAUCAACAAUCGCUCCUUCAAUCCCUCCCUUAAGCUAACUUCUGUGAAGCAAUUAGCUUAACUCAGAAAUGUCGCACACUCCAAGCAAUCCUCGAAGCUUCUGAAAAGUAUCAAUCUUCAAAGGCUUGGUCAUUACAUCUGCUACUUGAUCAUUACUUCCACAAUGAACUAAUGCAACUGAACCUUCUUUUGUGAGAUUCCUUAAGAAGUGAUACCUCACAUCUAUGUGUUUGCUGCGUCCAUGCAUCACAGGAUUCCUUGAAAGUUUAAUUGUUGAGCUAUUAUCACACCUGAUAUGAGUACAAACUUCAUCACUAUGCCCAAGCUCCUUCAACACCCUUUUCAUCCAUAUUGCUUGACAUGCACACACUGCAGCUGCCACAAAUUCUGCCUCAGUUGUUGAUAAAGUUACAAUCGGCUGCUUUUUCAAACCCCAUGACACUGCACCACAACUCAGCAAGAACACAUAACCACUUGUACUCUUCCUAUCUUCUAUGUCUCCUGCAUAAUCACUAUCUGUAAAAGCAAUAAGCUCAUCAUUCCCACCUCUCUUGUAGUAAAUUCCAUAACUCACAGUCCCUCUUAGAUACCGGAGUGCUUUCUUUGCAGCUUGUAGAUGAAGCUCAGUAGGUUUCGCCAUGUAUCUACUUAAGAGACUUGUAACAUACAUCAUGUCUGGUCUUGUGGCAGUAAGAUACAUCAAGCUCCCCACCAAUUGCUUGAAAUAUGUCUCAUCCACAGUAAUUCCAUCUUCAUCUUUGCUAACUUUGAAACCAGGGACAAUGGGAUUAUUCACCUUGUUGCUCUCCAACAUCCCAAACCUUUUCAAAACCUCUAAUGCAUACUUUUGCUGACAAAUAAAAAUACCAUCAUCUCUCUGCAACACUUCAAUGCCGAGAAAAAACCUCAUGCUUCCCAAGUCAGACAUAUCGAAUUCUCUUAACAUGGAACUCUUGAAUUCAGACAUCAUAACAUCAUCAUAACCAGUAAAGAUUAAAUCAUCAACAUAGACACUUACAAUGAUAAUUUUACCAGCACUACUCCUCUUUGUGAACAAGGUUUGCUCACUUUCACACUUAUGGAAGCCUUCAUUGAUGAAAUGCGCUUCGAUUCUGCUGAACCAAGCUCGUGGAGCUUGUUUUAACCAGUACAAAGCUUUGUGCAGUUUGUAGACCAAAUGCUCCUUUCCUUUCUUCUCAUACCCCUUUGGUUGCUCAACAUAGACAUCUUCACUCAAUUCUCCAUGAAGAAAAGCUGACUUCACAUCUAGCUGCUUAAUUUUCCAACCUUUCUGCGCAGCCAAAGCAAUGAUCAUCCUCACUGUGUCUAACCUUGCCACUGGUGCAAACACCUCUGUAUAAUCUAUGCCAUGUUUUUGUGAGUAUCCUUUUGCUACCAACCGCGCCUUGUAUUUGUCAACCUCUCCAUGCUCAUUAAACUUCGUCUUGAAAACCCAUUUGACUCCGAUCUUCUUAGUUCCAACUGGUAACUCUGUUAAAGUCCAUGUCUUGUUCUUCUCAAUGGAGUUAAUCUCACUAUCCAUAGCUUGUUUCCACUUCUGUUCCUUCACUGCUUCUUCAAAAUAACAAGGAUCUUCAACUGCUAAUACAUGUGCAAUGUGCACUUCAUCUUCACCAGAUCCCCUCUCAUCUUCACUUAAACCUAAACCAGCUCCACUAACAUAAUCCUUCAUCCAAUCUGGAGCAUGUCUGUCUCUUCCUUCAUCAAGCUCAUCAGAAUUUUCUACUUCUCUAGUUUCUUCACUCUCUUCUGCUCCACCCCGUGUUUCCUCACUGCCCUCAUUCUCACUCCUCUCACCAUUAUUAUCUUCAUUUCCAUUUUCACUUGCUCCUUCUUCAUUCUCACUGUUUUCUUCAUUCUCUCCCCACUCCAAGUCUAAUGAAAUUUGUUUCUGAUAGUUCUCACCCCAAUCCCAUUCUUUUUCUUCCUCAAAAAUCACAUCUCUACUCACAACAACCCUUUUAGUAGUAGGAUCAUAUAACCUAUAUCCCUUUGUCUCCUCACUAACCCCAAGUAAAACACAAGGAAAGCUUUUAUCAUCUAAUUUACCUCGCUUUUUAUCUGGAAUGUGAACAUGAGCAAGACAUCCAAAAAUACGAAAGUGCUCAACUGAGGGCUUUAUUCCACUCCAUGCUUCUUGUGGUGUAACAUCCUUUACUGCCAAGGUUGGACAUCUAUUUAGAACAUAGAAAGUCCAAUUCACUGCCUCCGGCCAGAAACUCUUUUGCAUCUUCUUGUCUGACAACAUGGAACGAACCAUAUUCAUCACAGUUCGAUUCUUCCUCUCAGCAACGCCAUUUUGUUGUGGCGUAUAUGCAGCAGUUAAUUGUCUCCUGAUUCCAUUCCUCUUGCAGAAGUCAUUGAACUCAUUUGAAGUGAAUUCACCUCCUCUAUAUGUCCUCAAACACUUAACAAACAUGCCUUUCUCAUUUUCCACCGACUUCUUAAAAUGCUUGAAACAAUCCAGUGCUUCACUCUUCUCUACCAACAUGUACACCCAAGAUUUACGACUAAAGUCAUCAAUAAAACAUAAAGUGUACCUCUUUCCACUAUUAGACGUAGGUGAAAUAGGUCCACAUAUGUCUGCAUGAAUGAGCUCCAGGGGCUGAUUUGCUCUCCACAUACUUCUUUUUGGUAUUGUAUCUCUAUGUUGUUUGCCAAUAAUGCAAUCUGUGCAUGUUACACCUGAGGCUUGAAACUGAGGAAGUCCACGAACCAUCUUCUUGAAUUGCAAAGUUCUCAACCCCUUGUAGCUCAAGUGUCCAUAACGUCGAUGCCAAAGAUGGGAGAGAUCUUGAGAGCUUGUAUGAAGGCAUCUUUGAACAUCUGAAACACCUUGUGUCUGAGCUAACAAAAUAAACAUUCUAUUUGCACUCAUUACUGUUUGAAUUAUCAAACCCCUCUCCGGAUGAUAAAUUUUACAAACCCCUCCUUGAAUCAAUAUUGCCAAACCCUUCUCUUGAAGUUGUCCUAUGCUCAAGAGAUUGUUUUUAAGCUCUGGAACAUAGUACACUUCACUGACAACAUGACUCACUCCAUUCAACAAUAACCUCACACUUCCUUUUCCAGCUACACCCAUUCUGCUAUUAUUUCCCAAUUUAACAGAAUGUUGAAAACUCCCAUCUAAAUUGGCAAACAUACCUCGAUCCCCACACAUAUGAUUAGAGCAUCCUGAGUCGAGGAACCACGCAUCUUUCCGCUUCAUCUCAUGCAACUCAACAAAUGACAUUAGCAGCAUCUCAUCUUCGUCAUCCAGCUCUGCGUAGUUGGCUUCCUUGUUCAAGCUAGGGCAUUCAUACUGGUAAUGUCCGAGCUUGUGACAUUUGAAGCAUUCCACUAUGGCUUUGUUGAAUGCUUGAGUUCCUCUCCCACGACCUCUUCCUCUAGAAUUGCUCCUUCCUCGGCCUCUGCCUCCAAUUCGCUCAUCAUAAACUCUCAGUGCUUGAUCAUCUCCUUCACUCUUCCGAAACUUCUGUUCAUGCACAAGCAGUGAGCUUUGUAACUCAUCUACUGAGAGAUGAUUAAUGUCUUUGGAUUCUUCAAUCGAACAGACAAUGUAAUUGAACUUCUUUGAGAGUGUACGCAGAAUCUUCUCAACAAUCUUCACAUCAGGCAUGUCCUCUCCAUAAUUCCUCAUAUCGUUUGCGACCAUCAUCACCCUACCAAAGUAGUCUGUGACAGACUCUCCAGAUUUCAUCUCCAACACUUCAAAGUUCCUGCGGAGUACUUGAAGCUGAGCACGCUUUACCCUAGCGUUUCCCUGAUACUUGACUUUCAUGGAGUCCCAUAGCUGUUUGGCAGUCUCCUUUUGAACAAUUGUUUUCAGUAUGGACUUGUCAAUUGGUUGAAACAAGUAAAUUUUUGGUCUUUCAGAUCCUUCAGCUUCAUGUCCUCCAAGAUUUUUCUCUGUCCUGCAUUCAAAACUUCUUCAGAUGCAGGCUCUUCAUACCCUGUCUCAACAACACUCCAGUACUCUUUUGAACGCAGGAGAUUCUCCAUAAGCAUACUCCAAUGCUCAUAAUCCCCAUCAAACUUAGGGAUGCAGGGUUGUGCAAAAUUACUCGACUCUGCUGCCAUCUUCACCUUUCUCACAAAAUCACUCAAAGAAGAGCUGCGGCUUCUUUAUCUCAGGCCCUAGUAGGGGCUCUGAUACCAGAUUGUUGGGAAUGAGAACCAAGAGAGCUAGUACUCAGACGCAAAAACUGGGUUUGAAUAACUUGUCUUAUUGAAUAACAACUCUGGCUUUAAAUAGCCAUACAAUAUAACAAACCCUAUCAACUUAAACGAAAAUACAGCCCCUGAUAACAACUACAUGGUAACAGACUUUGAAUGAAUCAAUGCUAACGUUAAUCCUAGAAACUAGGACAUUAUUAACUGAAACAGAAAACUUUGAACAAAUCAACAAUCGCUCCUUCAGAGGCGAUGCUGUAUUUUGGACGGUGGGGCGGCCACGAACCGGCUCAGGAGGGUGAUCUCAGGGCUGGGUCCUCGAUGGUUUCUGUCGGCGGCCUGUGGCGGCCGGAGGACAAGGCUCGUUUGCUUGGUUUGACGGGUUGAAGACGAAGACGAUCUUGGUGGCUUCCGGUAUCGCUUAUGGUCUAGGGUUUGUGGGUGUCCGUUCGGCGGUUGGCAGGGAGCAGACGGAGGCUGUCGAGGUCUGGUACGGUGCCGGUGGAGCUGUGGUGGCCGGGUGGUGGAGCGUAAAGCAGCGGCGGCUUGGUGAGGUCGGGUCAGGUUGGGUCAGCCCCUUCUGGAUCUGGGCUCGGGCAGUGGGCUGGAGGUAUCUGGCUUGGGGGUAGACCUGGGCUUAUGUUUUUUUACUUAGGGUUUAGGGUUCCUGGUGAAGAUCUAUUUCGCAACACAAUGAUGUAGUUACUAACUAUAUUUCAUUAUACUCAUCACAUCUUACAGACGACUUUUCCAAAUUUUAUUUCUUACAUAUAGUUCGUUCACAGAGACGUUUUCGAACAAGUUAUACCAUUUAACGAUGUCUAACCUAUUUACUAGUCCAUCUAACAUGCACUAAUGCCUUCCUCGAAAAACUGAUUCAUGUGUUGAAUUCGACAGUCAAGAUAAACUACAUAGUUCAAUUGGCGCUCUGAUUUAGAUCCUUGUCCGAUUGGCGCUCUGAAUAAUUAUUGGUGUUCGUGUGUUUUCAUUACAAAAGCAGAGUAUACUGCUCAACUGCUCAAGCAAAUUAAUGUUGUGUUGUUCUUGCUCUUCUUAUUAGCUUAUCACAAGCUUUUCUGUUAUCUAAGCUUUUAUUUAUCUCAUGCACGUUCAUUGAGAAUUUACAGCAAUUGCUAGAAGCAUAUAUCCAUGAUAAAAACAACUUGUUACCUUAUUCCUACCGUUAUUGUAAUUGUCUUUCCGUUAAGGAAUUUCAAUUUGUUUUUUUCCAGUCAUUUUACAAUAAACGUAAUUUAUACAUGAUUUCUACACUCUCCAGCUAUAGUAUCUCAUAGAAAAUGCAGCACAAUAUUCAGCUUUUCACAAUUAAAGGAAAUGAUACUACUUUGAUAGAGAUCAUCAAUUGUGGCUUGAUAGUUAAAUUGCUGGCGAGUAAUUCUGUGGUGCCCUGAAGAUAAUGUAAAUAUGAGAAUCAGAAAACAUAUUAGGGUAAAUAAAUGGGACAUGUAUGCAUCGAGCUAGCAGUCUUAGAAGAAGUAAUUCAAAUAACUAUUUCAAAGUAGUCAAGCAAUACAUACGGGAACAUACCCCAAAUAUAUGGCUCCAAGGGCUAAACUAACAAUUGUUGUUCUAGUUCCAGAAUCUACAACAAGCUUCAAGACGCUCCCUUUUCUCAGUAAGUGAUUCUGGGAUAAGUACUACACUAGGCGAAUCAAACCUAGGGAGAGAAACAUAUACAAGUCUUGAGCAUAACAAGUAGAACAACAUCAUGACGCAAUGAUCAACUUAAUACACAGCACAAAAUAGAAACGGAAAACACAUAGUAGUCUUGCACCAAAAAUCGGCCAAUAGCAACAUUUUCUACUGCCACAAAUUAGAAUUAUGACUACUGCAAUAAAAUUAACAUGCGACAAUCAUUACUGGAAUUCAAAAAUUGAGCAUGAAAACGAAACUGAGGUGACACACAUUUAAAGACCAUGUAAAGAAUCCAGUGAGAUUCUUUGUUCAUCAAACAUAUCAAAUAACAUAGAAUAUGUGGUAUGCUCACUACAUAUAGGAUAUCCUAUGAAAGUCUCCAUGUAACAAAACCAAUCAAUGAAAUACUGCUAAUACAAAAAGCAGUGCUUGUUUAAUAAUUAAUUGAAAUGAACUAGAGCGCCAAUAGAUCCAUCAGCCAAGAAUCAAUUUUCUUGCGCAAUUUAGGGACCACACAACACAGAACCAGAGGAUAUGCAUGUACUGAGAAAGUGUAUUUUGAAGAGUCAAUGAAGAUUCUAGCUGUUUAAUUGAUACGAUGAAGAAUCAUCAAGGGAAAUGUUUGAUUCAAUGAACCACUGGUAAGAAUUCUUUUUGGGUUAAAAGGUUCUAAACUAACGACCAUGAAUGUCAUUCUUCAUGCACAACAUUUGUGUAUUGGACCAGACUAAACGACAGAUGGUCAAGUAGGACUGAAAAGCUACACUGGAUGAUAUAGAAUAGAAAGGUACAUCUAUCCAAACCCAGGAGAGAGAGCCUAUAAAGGGUAGACGAGAUAACAAAACAAAUGACAAGAUGACAACCAUUACAGCAAGUGGGAACUAUUACGUACUAACCCUGCUGUUAGUCCACAGUCCACAACACCGGUCGAUGCACCAAGAUUUGCUUCAGAUCUCAGUAACAGAAAGAUACACCAUGAUAUAUCCAAAUGUAGACUACCAGAAAGAACAAAUAUACAUUACUCCAGACAGACUCAAUCAUAAGAACUCCUAACUAGUAACUCAAUCAUAUGAUUCACAUCCCAAGACUAACUACUAUCCCGGGUGGAAUUGAACACAAGCAAGAAAAGCAAUGAAGAAGCACCUAGUUUCAAUCUUGAAGAAACAAUUCAACAAUUAAACACAAGCAAAAGAUCAAAGGGGAAAGCACUAACCUUCACGCCCUAAUUGAGGGCCCAGCCGAUUUAAUUUACCAUAGGGCUUAGAAGCGGUGAAACCUCCUCUCGGAUUGUGCCACCGGGCGAGCCCUAUAAAUUAACACCGUCGGGUUUCACAUUCCGGCCUUCCUCACGGCGGGCAAAUUGAACUCAAUCCCCUUUCGGUCUCAAUCAACCAUUGAACAGUACACCAGUUGAAUCACCAUAUGCAAAUCAACAGUUGCUGACCUGAUAUACAACAGAUCGGAUGGACCACCCAAUCACAAUUUCAAUUGCUCACUCUUAAUCGUAUCAGUACAUCCACUAAGAACGUGCAUACCUGCGGUCUGUCGGGAUUUCGUCGCCAUACUAGAUCCCGUUUUGGUCGCCAAGCUCAAUCGACCAUUGUAGGCCUCUUUCCCUUCAAUAACCAAACACUCUACAGUUAACCCCGGACUCUUCUUCAACACACACCCACAGAUAAAAACAUAACACAUUUCCAAAAAAAAAAGAAAAAAAAAAGAUAAAAACAUAAAUACAUCUGCGUAUUUACCUGCACAGUUUUACCCUCAUCCCCAAAUACUAACCCCAUAUUUAUCCAAGCCCUAAACUUAACGGAUACUCACUCCGUUUGAAUGUGUUGCCUUUGUCUAGCCGACACGUGUCCAGACAUGGCGGGUGUUGGACCCCGUGGGAAUAUUCUAGACGUCUCCCUUUGCUUGAUACGAACCACAAACCUCUGAUUCAAUGUUUAUAACAUUUUUAGUUUCACGCCUGUGUAUGCUGCUAGUAUGAACAACGUUGUGCACACAUACUAUCAAAAAAACGUUUGUACGUACACACAUGAGUUUCAAACCACAAACCUCUGAUUCACUGUUUCGGAUAUUUUCAGCUUCACACGCCUAUAUAUAUCAGGAUUAAUAUGCUCAGUUGCUCACACUGAACCGAAAUUGCAGCUUCUUGCCUAGUA
rnacentral:lncRNA from 1 species